UACGUAGGGGGCUAGCGUUGUCCGGAUUUAUUGGGCGUAAAGAGCGUGUAGGCGGCCAGGUAGGUCUGGUGUGAAAACUCGAGGCUUAACCUCGAGAUGUCAUCGGAAACCAUCUGGCUAGAGUCCGGAAGAGGAGAGUGGAAUUCCUGGUGUAGCGGUGAAAUGCGUAGAGAUCUGGAAGAACACCAAAGGCGAAGGCAGCAUCCUGGGAAGUAACUGACGCUCAUGUGCGAAAGCUAGGGGAGCGAUCCGG
rnacentral:rRNA from 1 species